rnacentral:rRNA from 1 species
AUUGAACGCUGGCGGCAUGCCUUACACAUACAAGUCGAACGGUAACGGGUCCUUCGGGAUGCCGACGAGUGGCGAACGGGUGAGUAAUAUAUCGGAACGUGCCCAGUAGUGGGGGAUAACUGCUCGAAAGAGCAGCUAAUACCGCAUACGACCUGAGGGUGAAAGGGGGGAUCGCAAGACCUCUCGCUAUUGGAGCGGCCGAUAUCAGAUUAGCUAGUUGGUGGGGUAAAGGCCUACCGAGGCAACGAUCUGUAGUUGGUCUGAGAGGACGACCAGCCACACUGGGACUGAGACACGGCACAGACUCCUACGGGAGGCAGCAGUGGGGAAUUUUGGGCAAGGGGCGCAAGCCUGAUCCAGCAAUGCCGCGUGCAGGAAGAAGGCCUUCGGGUUGUAAACUGCUUUUGUCAGGGAAGAAAUCUUCUGGGCUAAUACCCCGGGAGGAUGACGGUACCUGAAGAAUAAGCACCGGCUAACUACGUGCCAGCCGCCGCCGUAA